AUCAGACCAGACUGGGAAUCCCCACUACAGAGGCCACAUUCUUCCUGUAACUUGAUAUCUCAAGAUGUGACUAAGUGGAGAAAUAAGUGAUAUAGCAUGGAACUCAGGGUCAGAGCAGAGCAACACAGACUGUGGAGUUAUCAACGACACAAACUCAAGGAGUUAAAAAUGGAAUAAUGGCCCUCCCUGGUGGCACAACG